GGGCGGAUGGCGAAAUUGGUAGACGCGACGGCCUUAGGAGCCGUUGGGGCAACCCGUGGAGGUUCGAGUCCUCUUCCGCCCA
rfam:Omnitrophica WOR_2 bacterium RIFCSPHIGHO2_02_FTLL_67_20 rifcsphigho2_02_scaffold_12294, whole genome shotgun sequence.